rnacentral:rRNA from 1 species
UAAGGAAUAUUGGACAAUGGAGGCAACUCUGAUCCAGCCAUGCCGCGUGAAGGAAUAAGGCCCUAUGGGUUGUAAACUUCUUUUAGACGGGACAAAACCCCUUUACGUGUAAAGGGUUGAUGGUACUGUCAGAAUAAGCAUCGGCUAACUUCGUGCCAGCAGCCGCGGUAAUACGAAGGAUGCAAGCGUUAUCCGGAAUUAUUGGGUUUAAAGGGUGCGUAGGCGGACUAAUAAGUCAGUGGUGAAAGCCUGCAGCUUAACUGCAGACUUGCCAUUGAUACUGUGAGUCUUGAGUACAGUUGAGGUAGGCGGAAUGUGUCAUGUAGCGGUGAAAUGCUUAGAUAUGACACAGAACACCGAUUGCGAAGGCAGCUUGCUAAGCUGUAACUGACGCUGGGGCACGAAAGCGUGGGGAGCAAACA